GAGGCCAUUUCACCGAUCCACCUGCCCUCCAUCAGCCCAGACAGCGGACAAUUUACUUUUAAAAGACCAUUCGAAAAGAUUCUGAAGCUCUCUCCGACCCGAAACCUAGUGUUUACACAAGCCCAGAGCGGCCUGAAUAACUCAAACACCUCUUGACCUGUUCUGGGGAGAAGAGUCGGUAUAGGAAGGAGAGUCGGGCCCCUCAUUCAGCACCCCCUCCUGUGUACGUAAAAUGAGUCCAUUGGUAUGAGCUGUUCCUCGGCAAUUUUAUUUCCCUCAGGGCUCCUUCGCCAUGCCCACAGAGGUCUGCAAAGAACAUGGAAAGUUCUACCUGCCCCUCAAGCCCUGAGUGCGGAGGGCUCUGUACUAACGACGUCUGUGUCCUAACAGGAUGUGGCUUCCCUCGGGGCCAAUCCCUCCAAACUUUCACGUCAGGAGCCACCCUGCAAUGAUAGUGAUGACAAAACUUAACCUUCGUGACGACGUUUUUUACAUUUGAACAUCUUCCACAUCUCACUCGAUCUUCGCCACCGCCUGCCUCGGAGAUGAGGAAGCAGGUGGACAGAAAAGCCAGGGGAUUCGGUCGGUCAGGGUCAUGUCAUUAGAACGAGGAAGCGGCCACUUAAACCCAGGUCUUCCAGGGCCGAGGCCUGGGAUCCUUCCUUCAUUCUAUAGCAAAUGGAACUGGCAGUGGUUCUCAACUGGGGGUGAUACCCCCUCCUUCCCCAGGGACCUGUUAAAGCCUGGAGACAUUUUUGUUUGUCACAAGUGGGGAGGAGGGCAUCCACUGGCCGCUGUCAUGUGAGUAGAGGCCAAAGGUGUCGCUAAGCAUUUCCCAACGCACAAGACAGUCCGUCACAACCAAAAAUCACCCAGCCUCCAUGUCAACCGUGCCGGGGGUGAGAAGCCCCACCCUAGACUUACCAUAAGGAGGCAAAUGGCAGAAUCCAGAGACCCAACCUUCGGCCCAGCCCUGCUCUCCUGCCUGCCCUGUCGGGCCCACCUGCUUUCCCCAGAGAAACUUUGCAGACGUUUGCAAAGGACUUUGGGAUACUCGGAAGAAAGUUAAUAGCUAAAUGCAGAGUUGCUGGGUUUUAUAAAGCCGCUGAUAUUUGUAUUCAAGUUCUCCAAAUUGCAUACCGCAGCUUGCACAUUACAGGACAGCUGCCGUGCUCCAGAUGUGGGCAAUAACCAGAACAUGGUAAUGGCCAAAUGCAAAAGGAAGAAAGGAAACAAGAAGAAGAAGUUAAUGUAUCUGGAUGGAGGAGAGCGAUUUCAGUGGAUGUGUCUGGAUUUUUUUAGGGAGAUGAAUACCUUCGAUUCUCCCAAAUUUUCAGCUCGGUGUGAACAUUUGGGAAGAAGCCGUCUGGGUCAUUCAUUGCUGCCAUCAAAGGCUCACCAGUGCCUUGUAAGAGCAGAUUACAGAUGAAAUGGGGCACGUAUAAAUGUUAACAGUGUGCCGGAGAAAGUAUUCAAAUCGCUCCUGUUUCCAAGCACCCUAUUAAACGCGCUAAGCUUCUCCCGAAGAAAGCUGCUCGAAGGUGGUGAGCUGCCGUAUUUAUUUACUCAGCCCAUUUAUAAAACGGCACCCUUUUGCUUACUUUAUCCUAGGAGAAGGCUCUCGGGAGCCCACCAAUCAGGAAUUCGGCACACUAGGACUUUGCGAUAGAAAUGGGGCGGGGUGGAAAAUGAAACUGCCGGCCACAGGCCUGCCAGCAAGCUUGCUGUGUGACUCCAGGAAAGGAGAUGCACUUCUCUGGGACUCGGUUCCUCAUUCUGUAAAAAGAGGGGUGUGACUGGAUGAUCUCUGAGAUCCCUUCAGCUCUAAAAGGCGGCAAUUAGUUGUGUUCUUGGCAGUCUUAUCAGAUACAGAAAAACUGCCUCAUCCUUGAACAGAUUUCUUUUUUUUUUUUAAUGUUUACUUUUGAGGAGGGGAGGGGCAGAGAGAGAGGGAGGCAGAGGAUCCAAAGCAGGCUCCACGCUGACAGCGGAGAGCCUGACGUAGGGCUCGAAGUCACAAACCGGGAGAUCAGGACCUGAGCCAAAGUCUGACACUUAACCAACGGACCCCCCGGGUGCCCCUUGAAUAGAUUUCUGAAAGGGGGAAACAUCUUCAGGCUGCAUCUGAGAACCAGCGCUCUGUGACCCAGGUGUCAGAGAACCAGGCAAACUUCUGCUUGGACAGAAGAGGGCACGCAGGGGCCAAGUAGGCCCCUUCGAAAUGGUGGAAAACAGGUUGGCGGCAAAAGGGUCAGGAGACCUCAGUGUGGUCAAGGGAGACGCACUGCAUUCACUUAUUCAGUCAACACUUGCUCAACGCCUCCCACGGGCACUGGGAAUGGCGAGAGCAGACAGAUUUCCAUCUUUAUAAACGCUAGUCUUCCAGGGAGAGGGGGGCUGUCCACCGGGGCAAGCGUACUGGCAGUUCAGUGCGGCGGCGUGAGUACUAGGACGGAGAGAAGGAUGGUUCCUCUGGGGACUCACAGAAAGAGGAAAAGAAAUCUGCUGAGGAGGUGACCCCCACGCAGAGUCUGGGAGAAUGAACACUUCUGUCCAAGUGGCCUCUUGGAGGGCCCUUCCAGCUCAAGAAUUCCAGGAUUCUGGGUUUAGGGUUAGGUGUUCUGGAAUCAGGGCAGAAGGAGUAAGAACACCCUGUCAGGAUUAUGGGGCUGUGGGUAGGGGGGCGAUGCAACAGGGUGUUCGGGGCACCGCAAGCCAUCCCCCAGUAGAACACAGAAAUGUCCACGUAGGCAAAUCCCACCUGAGGGAAUAAAGAGAAGAAUGAUCUUUCAGUAGAGAAAGAGCCUCCAGUGAAGUGUGACGGUGGGUGGCUCUGAUGUUCUCUCACACCAUUGAUGGUACAAGGCUAAUCUGAGUUAACUGAGGAAGAGAGAGGACAUCCUUGAAUAUGGCUCAUUUUGGUGGGUCUACUCAAAGUUGGACAGGAGCUCCUUCCGGGAUUCUCGUGUUGGACAGAGGGAAGAGGCAACAGAGAGAGCCUUCCUGAAUUUUCUCCUCCUCUACCUUCUCCCUCCUAUAGACUGCCCGGGAACUGCAAAGUGCUGGCGUCCAAACACAUACACAAAAUAAUUCUGGAGGGUUGCCCUUUAAUGCCAGCAAAGCCAAUGAGGGGAAACAGAGAGAGCUUUGUGUCAAUGAGAUUAACGGAAGACUCUACCUGAGUUAAGGCAACACGAUACAAAAGAAAAGCGGGCUGAAAUGAGCCUCCUUUUACCCAAACCGCAGACGGCCAAGGUGCCCCAGAUGGACACUGCCCCCUGCGGAUUUGACACGGAAACCCCUUCUCUGCCGUCAUCCUCCUGCCCUCAGGGAUACCGUACAUUUGAAAAGUCCUCUCUUCUUCCCGGAUUUUCACUCGUUGCAUUUCAAUGAAUUCCACUUCGGUCACUGUGUUUUCUGUAUUUACACACAUUUCUCUUUAGCUCCCUUUUUGCUUUUUAAAAUUUAAUUCCCUGGGAACUUCUCGCCUUUUGAUUCUGCCUUCUCCUUUCUUCUGUUCUCCCACAUUCUUUCUACUAAACAGCAUUCUAAUUAUUACAGAUAGAUAAAUAUGAGGCUAAGUGAUAGGGCUCUAUCAAUUAAACACAACACCACAGAUUUGGGGCAAAAUUAGACAGAAAGAAACCAGUAUCUAAAACCAUUAACAGUGUGCCCAGUCAACCUCUCAGAGGGUCCACAAAAGUCAUGUAUGUAUCGCACCAAUAUAUUGUCACCUAACAAAACCUGAUUCUUAUUAAAGGGCAAAUUACACACGA